UACGUAGGGAGCAAGCGUUGUCCGGAUUUAUUGGGCGUAAAGAGCUCGUAGGCGGUUCCGUAAGUCGGGUGUGAAAAAUCUGGGCUCAACCCAGUGGAGCACCCGAUACUGCGGUGACUCGAGUCCGGUAGGGGAGUGUGGAAUUCCUGGUGUAGCGGUGAAAUGCGCAGAUAUCAGGAGGAACACCGACAGCGAAGGCAGCACUCUGGGCCGGUACUGACGCUGAGGAGCGAAAGCAUGGGGAGCGAACAGG
rnacentral:rRNA from 1 species